rnacentral:rRNA from 1 species
GACGAACGCUGGCGGCGUGCUUAACACAUGCAAGUCGAACGGAAAGGCCCCUUUGGGGGUACUCGAGUGGCGAACGGGUGAGUAACACGUGAGUAACCUGCCCUUGACUUCGGGAUAACUUCAGGAAACUGGGGCUAAUACCGGAUAGGAAUCCUUGCUGCAUGGUGGGGGUUGGAAAGCUUCGGCGGUUUUGGAUGGACUCGCGGCUUAUCAGCUUGUUGGUGGGGUAGUGGCUUACCAAGGCUUUGACGGGUAGCCGGCCUGAGAGGGCGACCGGCCACAUUGGGACUGAGAUACGGCCCAGACUCCUACGGGAGGCAGCAGUGGGGAAUAUUGCACAAUGGGCGGAGGCCUGAUGCAGCAACGCCGCGUGCGGGAUGACGGCCUUCGGGUCGUAAACCGCUUUCAGCAGGGGCGAAGCUUGUGGUGACGGUACCUGCAGAAGAAGCACCGGCUAACUACGUG